rnacentral:rRNA from 1 species
GACGAACGCUGGCGGCGUGCUUAACACAUGCAAGUCGAACGGAAAGGCCCUGCUUUUGUGGGGUGCUCGAGUGGCGAACGGGUGAGUAACACGUGAGUAACCUGCCCUUGACUUUGGGAUAACUUCAGGAAACUGGGGCUAAUACCGGAUAGGAGCUCCUGCUGCAUGGUGGGGGUUGGAAAGUUUCGGCGGGUGGGGAUGGACUCGCGGCUUAUCAGCUUGUUGGUGGGGUAGUGGCUUACCAAGGCUUUGACGGGUAGCCGGCCUGAGAGGGUGACCGGCCACAUUGGGACUGAGAUACGGCCCAGACUCCUACGGGAGGCAGCAGUGGGGAAUAUUGCACAAUGGGCGGAAGCCUGAUGCAGCAACGCCGCGUGCGGGAUGACGGCCUUCGGGUUGUAAACCGCUUUCGCCUGUGACGAAGCGUGAGUAACGGUAAUGGGUAAAGAAGCACCGGCUAACUACGUG